UAAACACUACUGGUGGCCCUGGAGCCUU
rnacentral:piRNA from 1 species